GGGUUGUGAGGUUAAGCGACUAAGCGUACACGGUGGAUGCCCUGGCAGUCAGAGGCGAUGAAGGACGUGCUAAUCUGCGAUAAGCGUCGGUAAGGUGAUAUGAACCGUUAUAACCGGCGAUUUCCGAAUGGGGAAACCCAGUGUGAUUCGUCACACUAUCAUUAACUGAAUCCAUAGGUUAAUGAGGCGAACCGGGGGAACUGAAACAUCUAAGUACCCCGAGGAAAAGAAAUCAACCGAGAUUCCCCCAGUAGCGGCGAGCGAACGGGGAGCAGCCCAGAGCCUGAAUCAGUGUGUGUGUUAGUGGAAGCGUCUGGAAAGGCGUGCGAUACAGGGUGACAGCCCCGUACACAAAAAUGCACAUGCUGUGAGCUCGAUGAGUAGGGCGGGACACGUGGUAUCCUGUCUGAAUAUGGGGGGACCAUCCUCCAAGGCUAAAUACUCCUGACUGACCGAUAGUGAACCAGUACCGUGAGGGAAAGGCGAAAAGAACCCCGGCGAGGGGAGUGAAAAAGAACCUGAAACCGUGUACGUACAAGCAGUGGGAGCACAGAGCAAUCUGUGUGACUGCGUACCUUUUGUAUAAUGGGUCAGCGACUUAUAUUCUGUAGCAAGGUUAACCGAAUAGGGGAGCCGAAGGGAAACCGAGUCUUAACUGGGCGUUAAGUUGCAGGGUAUAGACCCGAAACCCGGUGAUCUAGCCAUGGGCAGGUUGAAGGUUGGGUAACACUAACUGGAGGACCGAACCGACUAAUGUUGAAAAAUUAGCGGAUGACUUGUGGCUGGGGGUGAAAGGCCAAUCAAACCGGGAGAUAGCUGGUUCUCCCCGAAAGCUAUUUAGGUAGCGCCUCGUGAAUUCAUCUCCGGGGGUAGAGCACUGUUUCGGCAAGGGGGUCAUCCCGACUUACCAACCCGAUGCAAACUGCGAAUACCGGAGAAUGUUAUCACGGGAGACACACGGCGGGUGCUAACGUCCGUCGUGAAGAGGGAAACAACCCAGACCGCCAGCUAAGGUCCCAAAGUCAUGGUUAAGUGGGAAACGAUGUGGGAAGGCCCAGACAGCCAGGAUGUUGGCUUAGAAGCAGCCAUCAUUUAAAGAAAGCGUAAUAGCUCACUGGUCGAGUCGGCCUGCGCGGAAGAUGUAACGGGGCUAAACCAUGCACCGAAGCUGCGGCAGCGACACUAUGUGUUGUUGGGUAGGGGAGCGUUCUGUAAGCCUGCGAAGGUGUGCUGUGAGGCAUGCUGGAGGUAUCAGAAGUGCGAAUGCUGACAUAAGUAACGAUAAAGCGGGUGAAAAGCCCGCUCGCCGGAAGACCAAGGGUUCCUGUCCAACGUUAAUCGGGGCAGGGUGAGUCGACCCCUAAGGCGAGGCCGAAAGGCGUAGUCGAUGGGAAACAGGUUAAUAUUCCUGUACUUGGUGUUACUGCGAAGGGGGGACGGAGAAGGCUAUGUUGGCCGGGCGACGGUUGUCCCGGUUUAAGCGUGUAGGCUGGUUUUCCAGGCAAAUCCGGAAAAUCAAGGCUGAGGCGUGAUGACGAGGCACUACGGUGCUGAAGCAACAAAUGCCCUGCUUCCAGGAAAAGCCUCUAAGCAUCAGGUAACAUCAAAUCGUACCCCAAACCGACACAGGUGGUCAGGUAGAGAAUACCAAGGCGCUUGAGAGAACUCGGGUGAAGGAACUAGGCAAAAUGGUGCCGUAACUUCGGGAGAAGGCACGCUGAUAUGUAGGUGAAGUCCCUCGCGGAUGGAGCUGAAAUCAGUCGAAGAUACCAGCUGGCUGCAACUGUUUAUUAAAAACACAGCACUGUGCAAACACGAAAGUGGACGUAUACGGUGUGACGCCUGCCCGGUGCCGGAAGGUUAAUUGAUGGGGUCAGCGCAAGCGAAGCUCUUGAUCGAAGCCCCGGUAAACGGCGGCCGUAACUAUAACGGUCCUAAGGUAGCGAAAUUCCUUGUCGGGUAAGUUCCGACCUGCACGAAUGGCGUAAUGAUGGCCAGGCUGUCUCCACCCGAGACUCAGUGAAAUUGAACUCGCUGUGAAGAUGCAGUGUACCCGCGGCAAGACGGAAAGACCCCGUGAACCUUUACUAUAGCUUGACACUGAACAUUGAGCCUUGAUGUGUAGGAUAGGUGGGAGGCUUUGAAGUGUGGACGCCAGUCUGCAUGGAGCCGACCUUGAAAUACCACCCUUUAAUGUUUGAUGUUCUAACGUUGACCCGUGAUCCGGGUUGCGGACAGUGUCUGGUGGGUAGUUUGACUGGGGCGGUCUCCUCCUAAAGAGUAACGGAGGAGCACGAAGGUUGGCUAAUCCUGGUCGGACAUCAGGAGGUUAGUGCAAUGGCAUAAGCCAGCUUGACUGCGAGCGUGACGGCGCGAGCAGGUGCGAAAGCAGGUCAUAGUGAUCCGGUGGUUCUGAAUGGAAGGGCCAUCGCUCAACGGAUAAAAGGUACUCCGGGGAUAACAGGCUGAUACCGCCCAAGAGUUCAUAUCGACGGCGGUGUUUGGCACCUCGAUGUCGGCUCAUCACAUCCUGGGGCUGAAGUAGGUCCCAAGGGUAUGGCUGUUCGCCAUUUAAAGUGGUACGCGAGCUGGGUUUAGAACGUCGUGAGACAGUUCGGUCCCUAUCUGCCGUGGGCGCUGGAGAACUGAGGGGGGCUGCUCCUAGUACGAGAGGACCGGAGUGGACGCAUCACUGGUGUUCGGGUUGUCAUGCCAAUGGCACUGCCCGGUAGCUAAAUGCGGAAGAGAUAAGUGCUGAAAGCAUCUAAGCACGAAACUUGCCCCGAGAUGAGUUCUCCCUGACUCCUUGAGAGUCCUGAAGGAACGUUGAAGACGACGACGUUGAUAGGCCGGGUGUGUAAGCGCAGCGAUGCGUUGAGCUAACCGGUACUAAUGAACCGUGAGGCUUAACCUUACAACGCCGAAG
rnacentral:rRNA from 1 species